rnacentral:lncRNA from 1 species
CGAACGGACAACAACUGUUGUGUCUAGUCGGCAGGUCACAUUUUAGGAAAAGAUAACGGGAUUGUAGUUACAACAAUUCGAAUAUAUUCGUCGUCAUCAGUGAAACUAAGCUACGAUGCAUGCAAAAAGCCUCUAUCAAGAAAAUAAUGAUAGGAAAUUCAAGCAAAUAUUGCAUCAACUGGGAAAUAUAUACUAAAUAUGCAGGCG